UAAGUUGUUGCGGUUAAAAGCUCGUAGUUGGAUUUCUGUCGAAGACGGUCGGUCCGCUCUAUGAGCGUGUAUCUGAUUCGGCUUUGGCAUCCUCGUGGGGAACGUAACUGUGCUUGAUUGCAUGGUGCGGAAUUCACGACUUUUACUUUGAGGAAAUUAGAGUGUUCACGGCAGGCAAGCGCCUUGAAUACAUUAGCAUGGAAUAAUAAUAUAGGACUUUGGUUCUAUUUUGUUGGUUUCUAGGACUAAAGUAAUGAUUAAUAGGGAUAAUUGGGGGCAUUUGUAUUAACGCGUCAGAGGUGGAAUUCUUGUAUUGCGUUACGACAAACUACUGCGAAAGCAUUUGCCAAGGAUGUUUUCAUUGAUCAAGAACGAAAGUAUGGGGAUCGAAGAUGAUUAGAUACCAUCGUAGUCUUAACCAUAAACUAUGCCGACUAGGGAUUGGUGGAGUAUACAAAAGCUCCAUCAGCACCUUAUGAGAAAUCAAAGUCUUUGGGUUCCGGGGGGAGUAUGGUCGCAAGGCUGACACUUAAAGGAAUUGACGGAAGGGCACCACCAGGAGUGGAGCCUGCGGCUUAAUUUGACUCAACACGGGGAAACUCACCAGGUCCAGACAUAG
rnacentral:rRNA from 1 species